UACGGAGGAUCCAAGCGUUAUCCGGAAUCACUGGGCUUAAAGGGCGCGUAGGCGGGCCACCAAGUCCGCGGUGAAAUCCUCCGGCUUAACCGGAGAAGUGCCGCGGAUACUGGGGGCCUCGAGGGGGGUAGGGGCAUGCGGAACACUGGGUGGAGCGGUGAAAUGCGUUGAUAUCCAGUGGAACUCCGGUGGCGAAGGCGGCGUGCUGGACCCCAUCUGACGCUGAGGCGCGAAAGCCAGGGGAGCGAACGGG
rnacentral:rRNA from 1 species